CCGUAUCGGUUAGACUGGGAUACUCAUCAAUUUAAAUAAGAAAACCGAGUACUUUUCCGUUUCCAAUGGCGGGCCAUAUAAAUCCCAAGUGGACUAAGCUGCAAAGCCGGUGGAUUACAAAGGGACGGAAAUCUCAAAUCAUAUAUAUACGGAGUUUUCAUCACAUCACCGGUGCGGUCUUUUU
rnacentral:sRNA from 1 species